UACAGAGGGUGCGAGCGUUAAUCGGAAUUACUGGGCGUAAAGCGCGCGUAGGCGGCUUUGCAAGUCGGGUGUGAAAUCCCCAGGCUUAACCUGGGAACUGCAUUCGAGACUGCAUUGCUAGAGUAUGGGAGAGGGAAGUGGAAUUUCCGGUGUAGCGGUGAAAUGCGUAGAUAUCGGAAGGAACAUCAGUGGCGAAAGCGACUUCCUGGACCAAUACUGACGCUCAUGUGCGAAAGCGUGGGGAGCAACCAGG
rnacentral:rRNA from 1 species